UACAGAGGUCCCGAGCGUUGUUCGGAUUCACUGGGCGUAAAGGGUGCGUAGGUGGCGAGGUAAGUCGGAUGUGAAAGCUCGGAGCUCAACUCCGAAAUGGCAUUGGAAACUACCUUGCUCGAGGGUUAGGAGGGGGACUGGGAAUACGUUGUGUAGCAGUGAAAUGCGUAGAUAUCAAGUGGAACACCAGGUGGCGAAGGCGGGACUC
rnacentral:rRNA from 1 species